GAUGAACGCUGGCGGCGUGCCUAAUACAUGCAAGUCGAGCGAACGGACGAGAAGCUUGCUUCCCUGAUGUUAGCGGCGGACGGGUGAGUAACACGUGGAUAACCUACCUAUAUGACUGGGAUAACUUCGGGAAACCGUAGCUAAUACCGGAUAAUAUUUUGAACCGCAUGGAUCAAAAGUGAAAGACGGUCUUGCUGUCACUAAUAGAUGGAUCCGCGCUGCAUUAGCUAGUUGGUAAGGUAACGGCUUACCAAGGCAACGAUGCAUAGCCGACCUGAGAGGGUGAUCGGCCACACUGGAACUGAGACACGGUCCAGACUCCUACGGGAGGCAGCAGUAGGGAAUCUUCCGCAAUGGGCGAAAGCCUGACGGAGCAACGCCGCGUGAGUGAUGAAGGUCUUCGGAUCGUAAAACUCUGUUAUUAGGGAAGAACAUAUGUGUAAGUAACUGUGCACAUCUUGACGGUACCUAAUCAGAAAGCCACGGCUAACUACGUG
rnacentral:rRNA from 1 species